rnacentral:rRNA from 1 species
AAUCAACGCUGGCGGCGUGCCUAACACAUGCAAGUCGCACGAGAAAGGGGAGCAAUCCCUGAGUAAAGUGGCGCACGGGUGAGUAACACGUGAAUUAUCUACCUCCGAGUGGGGAAUAACUGAGAGAAAUCUUAGCUAAUACCGCAUAACACUUACGAGUCAAAGCAGCAAUGCGCUUGGAGAGGAGUUCGCGGCAGAUUAGUUAGUUGGCGGGGUAAUGGCCCACCAAGACGAUGAUCUGUAUCCGGCCUGAGAGGGCGCACGGACACACUGGAACUGAAACACGGUCCAGACUCCUACGGGAGGCAGCAGUGGGGAAUUUUGCGCAAUGGGGGAAACCCGUGACGCAGCAACGCCGCGUGGAGGAUGAAAUAUCUUGUA